rnacentral:rRNA from 1 species
AUUGGGCGUAAAGCGCGCGCAGGCGGUCUCUUAAGUCUGAUGUGAAAGCCCACGGCUCAACCGUGGAGGGUCAUUGGAAACUGGGAGACUUGAGUGCAGGAGAGAAAAGUGGAAUUCCACGUGUAGCGGUGAAAUGCGUAGAGAUGUGGAGGAACACCAGUGGCGAAGGCGGCUUUUUGGCCUGUAACUGACGCUGAGGCGCGAAAGCGUGGGGAGCAAACAGGAUUAGAUACCCUGGUAGUCCACGCCGUAAACGAUGAGUGCUAGGUGUUGGGGGGUUCCACCCUCAGUGCUGAAGUUAACACAUUAAGCACUCCGCCUGGGGAGUACGACCGCAAGGUUGAAACUCAAAGGAAUUGACGGGGGCCCGCACAAGCAGUGGAGCAUGUGGUUUAAUUCGAAGCAACGCGAAGAACCUUACCAGGUCUUGACAUCCUUUGAUCACUCUAGAGAUAGAGCUUUCCCCUUCGGGGGACAAAGUGACAGGUGGUGCAUGGUUGUCGUCAGCUCGUGUCGUGAGAUGUUGGGUUAAGUCCCGCAACGAGCGCAACCCUUGACCUUAGUUGCCAGCAUUCAGUUGGGCACUCUAAGGUGACUGCCGGUGACAAACCGGAGGAAGGUGGGGACGACGUCAAAUCAUCAUGCCCCUUAUGACCUGGGCUACACACGUGCUACAAUGGAUGAUACAAAGGGUUGCGAAGCCGCGAGGCCAAGCCAAUCCCAAAAAGUCAUUCUCAGUUCGGAUUGUAGGCUGCAACUCGCCUACAUGAAGCCGGAAUUGCUAGUAAUCGCGGAUCAGCAUGCCGCGGUGAAUACGUUCCCGGGCCUUGUACACACCGCCCGUCACACCACGAGAGUUUGUAACACCCGAAGUCGGUGGGGUAACCCUUUU